rnacentral:SRP_RNA from 1 species
GGCUGGGUCCUGCGCAACGGUCGCCUGUGAACCGAGUCAGGGCCGGAAGGCAGCAGCUCUCAGCGGGUCAGGCCGUGUGCCGUAGCCAACCUGGCCGUC